AUCCCCGGGGGAGGGAGGCAGGCAGGCACGGAGGGGGGAAGGAGGAAGCCGAGCUGUUGAGUCAACACUGCAGAGCUGCCUGCGAGAGCAGAGAGAGGCACAGCCGGGCUGGCUGACAGAUUUGCUGAGCCACGGGGAAAUGGUUUGAGUAAUAAUCAACGCCUGCCGCUGUGGCCAGCAAGAUGAGGAGCCUGUGCAGCCGGGAGCCCCGGGAGCCACCGCCCUGCCCGGCGCAGGCAGCGCCACAAAGCCAGCACCAGGAUGUAAAACAAGAGCUACCAGCACCCCCUGAAGCACCAGCCUCACUCCUCAGCAACAGCAAACCCAUCCAGAGCAGGUCCUGACGAUAAAACCCUCGUGGUCCUCCCAGGAAGGCCACCAGAUUUCUUCCCACUGAUUUUUGCUGGAAAUCCUGUAUCCCAGGGAUUAGAAAAUAUCAGCAAAUCCCUGCUGGAUCUGCUCUCAGCACAGAAGCACAUUGAUAGAAAAUGUCCUGAUCAGUGCCUCAUGACCAGAAUUUUCCAGUUGACAGGGAAAAAAAAGAAGAUUCCCAAUGUGUAUCAGAAGAUUGCCAAUGUAUCAGCAGAUUCCCAAUGUGUAUCAAAUGCUCCUGACAUCCAUGGGCCAUGGAACAGCAGGGGAAGAGCAGGAGCCAUUGCAUCCUAGCAGGGAAAUAGAUUUUUAUACUGUGAAACCAAAUUAUGCUCCCAGUGAUAUUGGUACAAAUUCAGACAAUUUCAAAAUCAGUUCCUGGGAUGGAAUGAAGAGUUUUGGAGCUGGGUGUGUGGGAAUCCCUUUCCCCAUGCCCAGUGAGCCCCCAGGUGAUGUGCAGCACCCCCAGAGCAGAGGCUGCAGGGAUGUGCCCCCAACCCUGCCCUGUCACAGAGCAAUGACAGCAGAGCCCCAAACCCCACCGGUGUGGGGGGAUCCUGCCUGACCCCUCCUGUGACAGCUCGAGCAGAAGUAAAGGUGCAUGAAAUCA